UCCUCAGUGCAAAAUUCUUCCACAGUGAGCAGAGGGGAAAAUUCUCUUAUCUGUUGAAGGCCUGAAUCUAGCUGCCAUAAGGUUUAUAUUAUUUUCCCCAUUAACUCAUGAAAAACCAUAAUAGAUACAGAUUGCAUGGUGGAAUUUUUGGGAAUUCUUCUUAUUUUAGUGGUAACAGGAAGAUAAGCAUAGGAUUGUUCUCCAGGAAUUAACUACUCAAAGUUUAAAGAAAGGGAAAUAAGAAUAAAAUAUAAGAAGAAGCCUUCUUAAUUUCUGCAUUAAAAUUUGCUUGCACGGAGUCUUGGAGGGGUGUUCAAAUAGGAAAAAAAAAAAAUCCCUAAAAAAAAGCAGGCUUCUGUAUUUUUUUAAGAAUACUCAGAAUAUUCCCUUCCAGCACACAUAAAUAAUGGAUUACCAAAGCUUUAUUACUUUUUGGGGAUGACUUGCCUGCCCUUCUAUCAGGUUUGCAGCUCUUAAAAUCACAUUAGCAGUUGUGCUGUUUCCCAUUGCGGUGCUGGUUCCUUGCUCCCAGCAGCUGGAAUUUGCUCAUAAUGAUGCUCCUAUUUCCUCCUGCUCCCUGCAGCAUAAUAAAUGCUUGCUGGCAUUAUCACAAGCUCACUAAUUCCCCCCCAGCUCUCAUGCCACAGAUCUGUGCUCUCGCUGUGCUGACUCAGCAGGCACUUCCCCAUUCCUAAAAAAACUGGGUUUGGAGAAUUUUUUCAAUCCAGAGCAGCAUUUCAGAGAGGCUUCUGUGCUGCUGAGGCAGCACAUGUGAAGAGAUACCAAAUCCACUUCAAAGAAGCUCAUGGAAAGAGGAAAACAAACAAACAAAAAAAGAGGUGGUGCCAGCCCACGUGCUCAAAAUAUUUUUCUCCACUUCUGGAUAAUUUCUAAGUGCUGAUGUCGGGGGAUUAACAUACUCAACCAGUGUGAAAUGAGAAUUCGCUCUCUCAGAAAAACCAAAUGUGAAUCUGAUUCUGCUAAUAAUAUCUGCUUGAAACACCUGGAUCUGUAUAAUAGAAAGCCAAGAAGCAAAUGUCUGAGAGCAAUUACUCCAUUUUCCACCUUCUACACUGAAAAACUUUCAUGGAUUUACUGA
rnacentral:lncRNA from 1 species